GAUGAACGCUGGCGGCGUGCUUAACACAUGCAAGUCGAACGGGAAUUAUUUUAUUGAAACUUCGGUCGAUUUAAUUUAAUUCUAGUGGCGGACGGGUGAGUAACGCGUGGGUAACCUGCCUUAUACAGGGGGAUAACAGUCAGAAGUGGCUGCUAAUACCGCAUAAGCGCACAGAGCUGCAUGGCUCAGUGUGAAAAACUCCGGUGGUAUAAGAUGGACCCGCGUUGGAUUAGCUGGUUGGUGGGGUAACGGCCCACCAAGGCGACGAUCCAUAGCCGGCCUGAGAGGGUGAACGGCCACAUUGGGACUGAGACACGGCCCAGACUCCUACGGGAGGCAGCAGUGGGGAAUAUUGCACAAUGGGGGAAACCCUGAUGCAGCGACGCCGCGUGAAGGAAGAAGUAUCUCGGUAUGUAAACUUCUAUCAGCAGGGAAGAUAGUGACGGUACCUGACUAAGAAGCCCCGGCUAACUACGUG
rnacentral:rRNA from 1 species